rnacentral:rRNA from 1 species
UCAGUCGACUCCUACGGGGAGGCAGCAGUGGGGAAUAGUUGCACAAUGGGGGAAACCCUGAUGCAGCCAUGCCGCGUGUGUGAAGAAGGCCUUCGGGUUGUAAAGCACUUUCAGUAGGGAGGAAGGUAGUGUAGUUAACACCUGCACUAUUUGACGUUACCUACAGAAGAAGCACCGGCUAACUCCGUGCCAGCAGCCGCGGUAAUACGGAGGGUGCGAGCGUUAAUCGGAAUUACUGGGCGUAAAGCGCAUGCAGGCGGCCUGUUAAGUCAGAUGUGAAAGCCCGGGGCUUAACCUCGGAAUUGCAUUUGAAACUGGCAGGCUAGAGUCUUGUAGAGGGGGGUAGGAAUUUCAGGUGUAGCGGUGAAAUGCGUAGAGAUCUGAAGGAAUACCAGUGGCGAAGGCGGCCCCCUGGACAAAGACUGACGCUCAGAUGCGAAAGCGUGGGGAGCAAACAGGAUUAGAUACCCCUGGUAG